ACAGAAUUCAACCCAGGAAAGCUGAGAUAUGCUAAAGGCUCAGGCUAAGGAGCUGAGCAAACAGGACCUGGAGGGCCACGGCUGGGCACAGUUAUGCAAUGCUGGUUUCUUUGAUGGAGCAAAGCCUCGUGGUAGGUGAGGAGCCUGGGGCCCGGGUUGUGGCUGUGGCCCCAGCACAGGGCUGUGGGGGUCCCUGCACGCCCCGGGCUGGAAGGGAUUGAAACCCAUUGCUAACAAAUUGCACAAUAAUUGCAGAGCUCAGCGCAAAACUCCCAGGACGCUCCCUCAUGCCCUGAACUAUUCCAGUUUCCAUCCCCUUCAACCUACUAGGAAGCGCAGUGGAUGAGCUCAUGCCGUGGCUCUGGCUCCACACCCAUCCCGAGCAAGGACUUUCCCUGUGAGAUGUGAUCGUGGUUCCAAGCUGAAGUACAACGUGGGGAUGAAAGCUGCACCAUGAGCACCUUCAAGCGUGGAGAACACAAGUCCCACCGAGCUGCCAGGGAAUGCUGGGCAGACCCGGGAGCUGCUGCUCUGAGCUGGCCCCUCUUCCUCAGAGCGCUUUAUGGGCACAAUGUGGGACAGGAUCCACCCCAUGGGUUGAUGAGUGCAAAUCAAAGCCAACGUGGCAGGGGCUCUGGGUGUCCCCACGUGCAUUCACAGCCGGAGCAGAGCUCUCAUCCCCCUCGACCGCGUUACCCAUCCCAGGGCUUGAAAAUAGAAGCAGGAGCCCUGAUUCACACUUCCCAGCCUCCUCAAGCCUGCAGCAGGGACCCGAGCAGGCAGCCCUGCGUGCUCCCCUGCCAGCCCUGCAUGGACACAACAGGCCGGCAGCAGCUGCCUCUGCUCAUUCACCGGCUUGGGAAUGCUUUUCCUUACAUAAUACAGGCAGGAACGUGAAGGUUUCAGCUCGCAGCGGAGCUCCCACCCCUGCGCCGGCACGGACCGUGCCGGUGGGUUUCAUUCACCGAGCGCCAGCAGCGGAGGUCAGCGGGAGGGACAGCUCUGCAGGGAGGGCUCAAGGACCGUCCCUCACGGCUGAGGCUGCUCAGGGCCCUGCCGACGCUUGGAGCAUGUGGACAAACCCCCACUGCUGUACAGCUAUUAUCUGCUUUUCCCAAAGUGCUCCUCAACGCAUCACCCCAACAGGAGUGAGGGAAUGAGUUCCCACCACCACCCUUCGCUCACGCUCUCAUUCCCCUGACGUGGGGAGGUGGAGAGGUGGGAGCUGACCUGGACACGAUGCUCUCACACCUCCAGAUCCGUGAUGCAGCCAAGGUCAGUCCUGCCUCCCCAGAACCCUUGGGGAGCUUGUAGGGAUGCUCCCGACUCAUCCCCUUGGGAUGCUGCUGAGGGGAUGUGGGGCCAGAGGGCUGCAGGCAGCACAGCUUUACCACCACCAUUCUCUCUGUUCACGCUUGCAGUCACCACUGGCCUGUUUUAGCUCCUUCCCCUGGGAUUUUAACACCAGAACUUGCCUGCAGUUUGGGUGGGAGGGGAGGAUGCGCGUUGCCUCUGUCAGCAAAUCCUCCUGAAGAGAUGCAAAGGACUUCCCCAGACACAUGGAAGUGUUGGCUCUUGUUCCCAGCUGGGGAAACUGAGGCAGGGAGUAAGGGAAAACCACUGCCGCAAGUCUCCUGCAUGGGUUAAUGCGGAGACUGCAACCAAAAGCAGUGAAACUUGAAGGUCCCAUGUGCCUUUAGCUGUGCCAGCACCUCGGGGUGCUCCACACCUCCAGAAAGCAGGCUGCCUGCGACCCGUCCUGGGUAACCAGAGCUGUAGGAGGUGACAAACCACUUCCCUGCCCUGAAACCGAUCGGAUGCUGUGGAGCCAGAGGGAGCAAGGAUGAGCUGGACACGCUGUAGCCAGAAAGGAAAGGCCUGGGCAGGGGAGAUGAGCUCUGCCUGGUGGCCCUGAGCUGUCCCACGGCCUCUCAGCCACUGAUGGCCACAGCCACGCGGGGUGAUGCUCAGGGACUGCGGGUUUCUUGCUGCUGACUCUAAUCCGCCUCACCCCGAUAUAGCCACUGACCCGCUGGGCAGCUAAACUUAGCAGGAUGAAUCCUGCCCUGUGGCAGCAGGGCAGUGGGGACGGGGCCAUAAGCACAGGUCCAGGACCCUCGGACCACCUCCCAGAGGCUGGGCAGGCCCCAGGGGUGUGGAUGGAGGAGACAGGAGCAGGGAGAUGGGGCACUCAGGCCAUGAGCUCAGCUCACAGCCUCGCAGCAGCCAGACCCGCCCGUGAGCCCAAAGCGGAGACGUGGCACGAGCCCCCUUUAGCCGCCCCCGUUCCUCCCCUGUGUCU